GAAGCGAAUCGGAGGAUCGCGGCAGGCGACUGUCGAGGAAAGUCCGAACUCCUACGGGCAGCAGGCUGGCUAACGGCCAGGCGCGGCGACGCGACGGAAAGUGCAACAGAAAACAAACCGCCGACCGCCGUGCAUCGCGAGGUGCGCGGCGAGGUAAGGGUGAAACGGUGCGGUAAGAGCGCACCGCGUCGCACGUGAGUGUCGACGGCACGGCAAACCCCCUGCGGAGCAAGACCAAAUAGGGACGCAAUGGACUCGCCCGUGUCCUUCUGAGCGUCCGGGUAGGUUGCUCGACCGCCGCGGUAACGCGAGCGGCAGAUGAAUGAUCCUCGCCCCGCAAGGGGAGACAGAAUUCGGCUUACAGGUUCGCUUCACGC
rnacentral:RNase_P_RNA from 1 species